rnacentral:misc_RNA from 1 species
AACGCACAUUGCGCCCUUUGGUAUUCCGAGGGGCAUGCCUGUUCGAGCGUCAUUUCAACCCCUCAAGCCUGGCUUGGUGUUGGGCCGCGCCAGCAUGCUGGCGGGCCUUAAAAUCAGUGGCGGUGCCGCUGGGGCUCUAAGCGUAGUAGCACAUCUCGCUCUGGAGACCUGGCGGUUGCUUGCCAGACAACCUUCACUAAAACAAAAGGUUUGACCUCGGAUCAGGUAGGGAUACCCGCUGAACUUAA